GAACAGGAUUAGAUACCCUGGUAGUCCAUGCCGUAAACGUUGGGCACUAGGUGUGGGGGACAUUCCACGUUUUCCGCGCCGUAGCUAACGCAUUAAGUGCCCCGCCUGGGGAGUACGGCCGCAAGGCUAAAACUCAAAGGAAUUGACGGGGGCCCGCACAAGCGGCGGAGCAUGCGGAUUAAUUCGAUGCAACGCGAAGAACCUUACCAAGGCUUGACAUACACCAGACCGGCCCAGAGAUGGGUUUUCCUCUUUGAGGUUGGUGUACAGGUGGUGCAUGGUUGUCGUCAGCUCGUGUCGUGAGAUGUUGGGUUAAGUCCCGCAACGAGCGCAACCCUCGUUCUAUGUUGCCAGCACGUGAUGGUGGGGACUCAUAGGAGACUGCCGGGGUCAACUCGGAGGAAGGUGGGGAUGACGUCAAAUCAUCAUGCCCCUUAUGUCUUGGGCUUCACGCAUGCUACAAUGGCCGGUACAAUGGGUUGCGAUACCGUGAGGUGGAGCUAAUCCCAAAAAGCUGGUCUCAGUUCGGAUCGUGGUCUGCAACUCGACCACGUGAAGUCGGAGUCGCUAGUAAUCGCAGAUCAGCAACGCUGCGGUGAAUACGUUCCCGGGCCUUGUACACACCGCCCGUCAAGUCACGAAAGUUGGUAACACCCGAAGCCGGUGGCCUAA
rnacentral:rRNA from 1 species